rnacentral:misc_RNA from 1 species
AUGUUCUUGGACUGUAUGAUUUGGAGCAGCUAGUCCAGGUGCACUGGUGCCAGCAGGACUAUUAAAGCCUCUUUUCCUGGAAGCAAGCGAGAAGUGCUUCUGAAAGAUUGUUAACAAAUCAAGAAUUCUACUCAACAUUGAGAUUCUUGGAUUGAUCAGAACCUGUCUGUUUUCGUAAACAAUCAUGACCAUGUAUAUCAGAAGAGCUAAAACUGAAAUCAUUCCAGCAAUCAAGAACAGGCCUUUGAAAC